UUCAUCUGUUUCUUGUGCAGGCAUUUAUUCAUCUCAUGUCACGUCUCUUCAUCUUCCCACCUCUUGUCACUGCUCGUCUCCUCCGUCUCUUCACAGCAGAAGCGUCAAAAACAAGACUGCUGCUCGUUAGGAAAAUAAUAGGGUUUCAGGCCAUGGUACUCUUAAUGGAUGGACUUAUGUGCAACUUACAUCCUCAGACACUGAUACAAGUUGUUGUUACGGCUCAGUUUAGACUCGUCCAAACAAAACAAACCAGCACAAACUGUUCUAAAUGAACAGAAGGUCAGUGAAUAAAAUCCGACUGUUACUGUCUUACCAGUCUAUUGUUUUCUUUUCUCCUCCUGUAGUGUGUGUGUGUGUUUUCUUUAUUAUUUUUAUACCAUCAUCUUUGAUCUGUUCCUACUGAAACUGUUCACCUUCAGAAGGGCUCCAUAAAUCUCUUUUGAUCUCGCCUUGGAAGAAAAUCCACGUCCAGAAUAUGAAUCAGCACCCAGCCAAUCCAGACUGUAGUCAAGCAAAGCACCAUCUAAAAUGUC